rnacentral:rRNA from 1 species
GUGGGGAAUAUUGGACAAUGGGCGAAAGCCUGAUCCAGCCAUGCCGCGUGUGUGAAGAAGGUCUUCGGAUUGUAAAGCACUUUAAGUUGGGAGGAAGGGCAGUAAGUUAAUACCUUGCUGUUUUGACGUUACCGACAGAAUAAGCACCGGCUAACUUCGUGCCAGCAGCCGCGGUAAUACGAAGGGUGCAAGCGUUAAUCGGAAUUACUGGGCGUAAAGCGCGCGUAGGUGGUUUUGUAAGUUGGAGGUGAAAUCCCCGGGCUCAACCUGGGAACUGCCUCCAAAACUGCAUGACUAGAGUACGGGAGAGGGUAGUGGAAUUUCCUGUGUAGCGGUGAAAUGCGUAGAUAUAGGAAGGAACACCAGUGGCGAAGGCGACUACCUGGACUGAUACUGACACUGAGGUGCGAAAGCGUGGGGAGCAAACAGGAUUAGAUACCCGUGUAGUCC